rnacentral:rRNA from 1 species
GACGAACGCUGGCGGCAUGCUUAACACAUGCAAGUCGAACGAAGUGGCGAACGGGUGAGUAAUACGUGGGUAACCUGCCCUCCUUUUUGGGAUAAGCCUUGGAAACGGGGUCUAAUACCGAAUAAAGGGGGAUGGGCUCGCGGCCUAUCAGCUUGUUGGUGGGGUGAUGGCCUACCAAGGCGGUGACGGGUAGCCGGCCUGAGAGGGUGACCGGCAACAUGGGGACUGAGAUACGGCCCAGACUCCUACGGGAGGCAGCAGUGGGGGAGAUUGCACAAGGGGCGAAAGCCUGAUGCAGCGACGCCGCGUGGGGGAUGAAGGCCUGCGGGUUGUAAAGUACCACGGAAAGGCAUGCGUUACUCGAAGAAGAAGCACCGGCUAACUCCGUGCAAGCAGCCGCGGUAAUUC